AAAUUGCGUUAAUCCUCGGCAUUCUGAACAGCAGGGAACGACGACGGGCCGUCGUGAAGAACUGCAGGCUGCCGCCCUCCGACCUCGGCAGGUGACGCGCCGAGAGCAGCCGAUUCGGGAGAAUCCGAAUGCCGGUCUUGGCGAGUUCUCUGCCUGUUGCCGACGAGGAGCCUUUGACAGUAGGAAGCACACCUGCUUCUAGUCUCAGUUGAAGGACGGGUCGCCUAGCUCAGCGUCUAACAAACCCCACAACCGGUGGCCCGGUCGCUAUGGCGCUGCUGUUGCUAGCAGAGCCACCAGGUCUGUGUGAAGCCUUAGGUGCCUGCGUGGAGCAGUGUUUUGGUCACUCACCUGGAAGAAGCAGCGAGGCCUAAAACAAGACUUUGUUGCGGCUACAUGGAGCUGAGUGCUCUCCCUGAAGGUGAAAGCGGAAGGGGUAGGUCGUCGGCUACUCGGACACCUGCCGCGUCAAGGGCGGCAGCGGGAGCUGACCCUUCCCCGACGGACGGACGCCGGUGAGGACUCUGGGUGUCACAAGGGUAGUCCCCGGAAGGGGGCAUCUCCAAGAGAAGCGGCUAGACCCAGCGACCCAGCCGUUCGCUUUGGUCGCCACCUGUGAGGCGAGCAUCCGAGCGCAACGGGAGUCCGGGAGCUGUAUCGAGAAGAGCUGGAACCAACGACAGCAAAUGCUGACGGAGAGGGAAGCCGGACGAACGGCGUGUAGGGGAUUAAUACCCAAGGGACGGGGUUGAAACGAGGAGGCAGAAACGCAGCGGACCCUCGGUAUCCCCAGCAGCUGCCAGGGUAGCGGCAGGUGUUCCGCCACGGGCGA